AUGGAGGCUCCGGCGGACCAAACCAGCAGCAAGCACAUCGUUCUGGUGCACGGCGCAUGCGUCGGCGGCUGGGCCUGGUUCAAGGUGGCCACGCGGCUCAGGGACGCCGGCCACCGCGUCAGCACGCCUGACCUCGCGGCGUCGGGCGUCGACCCCAGGCCGCUGCGCGAGGUGCCGACGUUCUUCGACUACACCAAGCCGCUGCUGGACCUCCUGGAGUCCCUCCCGCCCGGGGAGAAGGUGGUGCUCGUCGGCCACAGCCUCGGCGGCGUGAACAUCGCCCUCGCCUGCGAGCUGUUCCCGGAGAAGGUCGCCGCCGCGGUGUUCCUCUCCGCCUUUAUGCCGGACCACAGGUCGUCGCCGGCGUACGUGCUCGAAAAGGUACACCAUGAUCGACUUCUUCGAAUCUGCAACUCUAGAUUGGACGUACGCGGAACCAAAAAAACAUCAACAUACACCAGCAUUAGCAUAUCGCUUUUAAUUUGUACUACUGAUGAAUGUUUUGCUCGAUCUAAAAAGUUCGUGGAGGGGGGAACGCUUGACUGGAUGGACACAGAGUUUAAGCCUCAAGAUCCUGAGGGCAAGCUUCCUACUGCCAUGCAGUUCGGGCCGCUGGUCACCCGAGCAAAGUUCUUGCAGCUGUGCUCGCCGGAGGAUCUGAUGCUGGGAAGAUCUCUGAUGAGAGUCGGUUCGAUGUUCGUGGAGGACCUGAGACUGCAGCCACCAUACACCGAGGCUCGCUACGGGUCGGUGCGCAGGGUGUUCAUCGUCCUCAAGGACGACAACGCCAUCGUAGAGGGGUUCCAACGGUGGAUGGUGCAGAACUACCCCGUCGACGAGGUCAAGGAAAUCGACGGCGCGGACCACAUGGCGUUGUUCUCGACGCCGGCCGAGGUAGCGCACUGCCUCGCCGACAUCGCUGUCAAGUAUGCUGCCUGA
rnacentral:rRNA from 1 species